rnacentral:rRNA from 1 species
UGGGGAAUAUUGCACAAUGGGCGCAAGCCUGAUGCAGCCAUGCCGCGUGUAUGAAGAAGGCCUUCGGGUUGUAAAGUACUUUCAGUCGGGAGGAAGGUGGUAAGGUUAAUAACCUUAUCAAUUGACGUUACCGACAGAAGAAGCACCGGCUAACUCCGUGCCAGCAGCCGCGGUAAUACGGAGGGUGCAAGCGUUAAUCGGAAUUACUGGGCGUAAAGCGCACGCAGGCGGUUGAUUGAGUCAGAUGUGAAAUCCCCGGGCUUAACCCGGGAAGUGCAUCUGAUACUGGCAAGCUUGAGUCACGUAGAGGGGGGUAGAAUUCCAGGUGUAGCGGUGAAAUGCGUAGAGAUCUGGAGGAAUACCGGUGGCGAAGGCGGCCCCCUGGACGAAGACUGACGCUCAGGUGCGAAAGCGUGGGGAGCAAACAGG